rnacentral:snRNA from 1 species
UUCCCUCUUUACCUCGGUUCUUAUCAGUUUAAUAUCUGAUACGUCCUCUAUCCGAGGACAAUAUAUUAAAUGGAUUUUGGGAGCCGGGAGAUGGAAUAGGGGCUUGCUCCAUCCACUCCACGCAUCGACCUGGUAUUGCAGUACUUCCAGAAACGGUGCACCUCCC